rnacentral:misc_RNA from 1 species
CCAUCAUCAUCUUCUUCUUCUUCUUUAUGGGGGUUGGUUUCUCUGGUUUUGCUUCACCCAGUGGUGGAGGUCCUUCUCCAUCAAGACCCAGUCUUGAUGAUGUGCCGGAGGGUUGUGUCUCUUCCAUUCUUAUGUACUUGGAUCCACCGGAGAUAUGUAAACUGGCCGGGUUGAACCGAACCUUCCAUGGAGCUUCUUUAGCCGAUUUUGUGUGGGAGACGAAGUUGCCAUCAAACUAUAAAGUUCUUGUUAAGGAAGUUUUACAAGAAAGUCCAGAGAGUUUGAGCAAGAAGGAGAUCUAUGCAAGAUUAUGUCAAGCUAAUUGCUUCGAUGGUGGCACCAAGCAAGUUUGGCUGGAUAAGAGUAGUGGCAAGAUUUGUCUGUCGGUUUCAUACAAGGCAUUGAAAAUUACUGGGAUAGAUGAUCGGAGAUAUUGGAAUCAUAUGUCAUCUGGGGAAUCCAGGUUCCAUAUGAUUGCAUAUCUUCAACAAAUUUGGUGGUUUGAAGUAGUUGGAGAAAUAGAGUUUGAAUUUCCUCCAGACACAUAUAGCCUCUUCUUCAGGCUUCAAUUAGGCAAAGCAUCAAAAAGAUUUGGGCGAAGAGUGUGUAACAUGGAUCAAAUUCAUGGAUGGAAUAUAAAACCCGUCCAAUUUCAGCUAUCAACAUCCAACGGCCAGCGUGCUUUGUCGGAAUGUUACUUGCAUGAACAAGGAAAUUGGGUUUACUAUAAUGUUGGUGAAUUCACAGUCGAUAAACUUCACCCACAAAUUAAGAUAAAGUUUUCGAUGAUGCAGAUUGAUUGUACGCAUAUUAAAGGUGGUGUAUGCCUGGAUUCUGUGUUAAUAUGCCCUAGUGAGUUGAGACACAAAUUAAACCAAUUUUAAGCAGUCAAGGCAAAUCUUUUGAGGUAGCUGGUAAAAUUUUACAUAUACAGGGUACAUAGAUAAGGGGAUAGAAACACGUCUAUCGGGAAAACUGGGUGUUUUUUUUUUUUUAAGUACAUCUGGGCCUGGUGUUUGUGAUUUUAAGGCUUCAAGCUUCAUGGAUACCCAAGUGGGUAGCGUUUUUUUUUCUCCACAAUCUUAUUUACUUGUACAAGUACAUUACCGCCAUGUAAUUAGCUUGCUAGAGUAUUUUCCCCUCCUCUUAUUGAAGCAGAGACAAUGUAAAGUUUUUUCUUUUCCUCCACUUAUUAAAGAGGGGAAUGUAAUGCAAGUUCAGCUUUUAUAUGUACAUGAAUUUCCAAUCCUAAAUAACAUGAGUAGAAGUGGUGAAGAAGGGUGUAUUGUGUUCUCCAAGUUUGGGCCAUAGUGAGAGCGACCGUUGAUCAAUGUAGUCGCAUCAAGGUUGGUCUUCUUAUCCAUAAAAGGCAGGACCCACCAUUUUUAAGCCCUAUCCUAAAUCCUUGCAUCUCCUCUUCUAUUCUCGACCCACCAAUUUUUCUAUCUUAUCUUAAUUUGUGCAUGCAUAUUUUCUCAUUUCCCUUGUUA